AACACGCUCCUUAGAUCCACCUCUGGGGUAGUCUUCCAACUUCUGAGUGUUGCAGCUCUAGGUUGGAGGCUCCCAGCAGCUUUUCUGGCUGUACAGUUGGAGGUGCUUGAGUCAUUGGCGUGUGAGAGCAGUCUACCUGCUCCUUCAGCCCAUUUGCUGCCCUGGCUCCCACCAUGGGAACUUCACCAGGGCAGACAAGCUGGAGGGCGGACAAA